rnacentral:rRNA from 2 species
UACGUAGGGUGCGAGCGUUAAUCGGAAUUACUGGGCGUAAAGCGUGCGCAGGCGGUUGGGAAAGAUAGAUGUGAAAGCCCUGGGCUCAACCUAGGAAUUGCAUUUAUGACUGCCCGACUGGAGUACGGUAGAGGGGAGUGGAAUUCCGCGUGUAGCAGUGAAAUGCGUAGAUAUGCGGAGGAACACCGAUGGCGAAGGCAGCUCCCUGGACCUGUACUGACGCUCAUGCACGAAAGCGUGGGGAGCAAACAGG